GACGAACGCUGGCGGCGUGCUUAACACGUGCAAGUCGAACGGAAAGGCCCUGCUUUUGUGGGGUGCUCGAGUGGCGAACGGGUGAGUAACACGUGAGUAACCUGCCCUUGACUUUGGGAUAACUUCAGGAAACUGGGGCUAAUACCGGAUAGGAGCUCCUGCUGCAUGGUGGGGGUUGGAAAGUUUCGGCGGUUGGGGAUGGACUCGCGGCUUAUCAGCUUGUUGGUGGGGUAGUGGCUUACCAAGGCUUUGACGGGUAGCCGGCCUGAGAGGGUGACCGGCCACAUUGGGACUGAGAUACGGCCCAGACGCCUACGGGAGGCAGCAGUGGGGAAUAUUGCACAAUGGGCGGAAGCCUGAUGCAGCAACGCAGCGUGCGGGAUGACGGCCUUCGGGUUGUAAACCGCUUUCGCCUGUGACGAAGAGUGAGUGACGGUAAUGGGUAAAGAAGCACCGGCUAACUACGUG
rnacentral:rRNA from 1 species